GGGGAUAUAGCUCAGCGGCAUAAGCACCUGCCUUGCAAGCAGGUGGUCGUGAGUUCGAUCCCCA
rnacentral:tRNA from 1 species